CAAAAUAAACGGAAAGAGGAGGAAAGGGAGAGGAGGAGAAGGAAACACCAAGGCAUCUGGUUUUAUUGCUGUAUUGCCUCUUCAUAAAAGAGUGGGUCUGACUGAAGGAUUCAAAAGGAGGCUGAGCAGCAGCUCUGGCGGGGCUUCUGCCAGUCACUAGUUCGCAUGGUUGCACCCAGUUCUCUUCCUCUUCCGGUCCUCUUUGCUGAUCUGGACUCUGCCUGAUAUUCUUGUCACAAGGUCAUUGCCCCAGCUUGACGGCUCAGAAACGGCAUCACAUGGUGCACUGCCCCACAUCUGGAGUCCCCAUGCCAUCUGCUAGCAGACCAGCAGCUGACUGCUGUGGGCCUCAGAUCACAGAUUC